rnacentral:lncRNA from 1 species
GUGAUAGAAAGUCCUGAUCAGCCUUUUGUGGUUCCGCGGCAGUUGCAGUUACCAGUAAUUAAAGACACAGGGCCCACUGUAGCCGUGCAGGCGGAACCGGAUUGUGAACCCAGUGAACAGGGACCAUGGGCCUCUGCAUGAUGCGUCUGUGGCUCCCUCUCUGCUGUGGGAACCCAGUUGGCACCCAAUAAAAGAUUCAAAGACCGCACAAAAGAGAAGAGAAAGGAAGCUAUUGCAGAUAAUUUGCAGUGUCUUCUGUUGUCGCAAGGGUUGAAGACUUAGCAAGACCAUUUGGAAGCACACUUAUAUCACAUUCUACAAAUAGCUUUACCAGUAAUUAAGAUGAUAUUUUAAUCUCCAUCUUUCUACUCUUGGAUCUGCUUAUCAAUUGAGUCCAUACUCUAGAGAGG